GUUUGCUGAGAGAGGCCUCUGGAAGGGCGACCUCAAAGCCCAGCCAUAGAGCCUCUGUUGCUGGGAAAGGGGAGCGCCAGGUGACCCGGGAGCCUCAGGACCCUGCAGCUAUCCCCCACCCCAGGGAAGGGCUGUCUCAGCCCUGGUGGCACACGCAGUCACUAGGGAGUUUUGGCAGUCCUGUGCGGAGUUGUACCCCGUCAAAUUGGAAUCUCUAGGACCGGGCCUUGGCAUCAGCAUUUCAAGAGCUCCCAGGCGAUCCCAAUGUGCACCCGAGAUUAACCCCAGACUGAGAGUCUGAGAAGCUGUGUGAAGGCCUCCCUGAUGGUUUGGGGAACGACAUGCUGAUAAGGACAAGUCGUGGACAAUAUCAAACAAUGCUGUGCUUUCGGGAGUAACACAGUUUCAUCCAACGAUGGUACUGAUGUUUUGGGUUUGUUUUUUGGUUUUUUUUUAAGAACUGUUCGUUCACGUAACAAACAUUAAUUAAGCACUUUAUGUUUGCCAGGCAUUGCACUAUCUCAUUUUAUCAUCGAAAUUACCCCCUCGAGGCUGGUAUUACUCUAAUUUCAUAGGUAAGAAAAUAGGCUCAGAUGUUUUGCAUGAAGGCCAACCAGCCGCUGAAUGACAGAUCGUGGAUUCAGAUGAAAGCUCUCCUGGGUCCAUAGCCCACUCAGGUUCACUUUAGGUGACGGUUGCGGCUCUGGGAGCUGGAACUCCUUCCAGUUCAAGGUGGGAUUGUUUGUUAUUCUUAGCAUGUUUCCCUCCGGGUGUUUAGAGGCACCGUCUCCUGCAGUCCUCUGCCAGUCCCUUCAUCCGCUGAGAGGAAGGGGGUCCAUUCCACUCUGAACCACAAUUCUGUAUUUGUCUGCAAAAUACAAGAGUUUCUAAAGCA